GACGAACGCUGGCGGCGUGCCUAAUACAUGCAAGUAGGACGCAGUUGCGAACGGGUGAGUAACGCGUAGGUAACUACCUAUUAGAGGGGGAUAAAUAUUGGAAACGAUAGCUAAUACCGCAUACUAGUAGAUGGACCUGCGUUGUAUUAGCUAGUAGGUAGGGUAAUGGCCUACCUAGGCAACGGUACAUAGCCGACCUUGGAGGGGGGUCGGCCAACAGGGGAAUGGGAAACGGGCCAGAAGCCUACGGGAGGCAGCAGUAGGGAAUCUUCGGCAAUGGGGGGAACCCUGAACGAGCAAAGCCGCGUGAGUGAAGAAGGUUUUCGGAUCGUAAAGCUCUGUUGUUAAGGAAGCGGUACUUAACCAGAAAGGGACGGCUAACUACGUGCCAGCAGCCGCGGUAAUUC
rnacentral:rRNA from 1 species